UGGGGAAUUUUGGACAAUGGGGAAACCCUGAUCCAGCCAUCCCGCGUGUGCGAUGAAGGCCUUCGGGUUGUAAAGCACUUUUGGCAGGAAAGAAACGUCGCGGGUUAAUACCCCGCGAAACUGACGGUACCUGCAGAAUAAGCACCGGCUAACUACGUGCCAGCAGCCGCGGUAAUACGUAGGGUGCAAGCGUUAAUCGGAAUUACUGGGCGUAAAGCGUGCGCAGGCGGUUCGGAAAGAAAGAUGUGAAAUCCCAGAGCUUAACUUUGGAACUGCAUUUUUUAACUACCGGGCUAGAGUGUGUCAGAGGGAGGUGGAAUUCCGCGUGUAGCAGUGAAAUGCGUAGAUAUGCGGAGGAACACCGAUGGCGAAGGCAGCCUCCUGGGAUAACACUGACGCUCAUGCACGAAAGCGUGGGGGAGCAAACAGGAUUAGAUACCCUGGUAGUCCACGCCCUAAACGAUGUCAACUAGCUGUUGGGGCCUUCGGGCCUUGGUAGCGCAGCUAACGCGUGAAGUUGACCGCCUGGGGGAGUACGGUCGCAAGAUUAAAACUCAAA
rnacentral:rRNA from 1 species